rnacentral:lncRNA from 1 species
UCUCUCUCUCUCUCUCUCUCUCUCUCUCUCUCUCUCUCCCUCACACCUCUUUGAGGUCUUUGGCCUUCUGGGAAGCCUAAGUACACUGAGGCAGAGAGAAAGGCACAGAUAGGGCAGUCACAUUGCCUGUAAGGUUGAUGGUAGUGCCUACAGUACACAACUAAUCAAUGAAUCUCAGAGCCUUGUGCUUGCCUUUAUGGAAAAUGAAGAUAAUGAAAUCAUCCUGAUUGGUUGUUUGGGUACUGUGUAUCUAUGUGUUUGUAACUGUAAGUGUCAAAAUACAUUUGCAACACUAUUGCUUCUGGAGGUGAGUUAGAAGGAAUUGAAGCUGAGAGAGGAUAAAGGUAAGGAAAUUGAGAAGAGGGUCUCAGGAUUGUGGGAGCAGGCCUGGGAAGGUGGGAAUGAAGGGUGUCAAGGUAGACUGAUGAUGCAUCCCCAGAAGACAGAGGAGGAACCUGGAGGAACGGGAGAUACACCACUUCCAUUCUCUUCACAGAUUCUGAGUUUAUUGGAUGUCCUAGAUGAUCUUCCGAAGACGCCACGCCGCUCCAGGGAUGUCUGCAUCCUUCAGCCGUUUCCCCUGGGGCAAUGGUCUUCCCCUCAGAACAAGGACAAUACUAAAAUAUUCACUCUGAAUGUGGGAGGUCAAUGUAACCUCCCUAGGCAAGAGGUCCAGGAGAAAGACCUCAAGGUUUUAUAAAGGAGCCAGACAAGAAGGCCUGCCAUAGUCUUCGUGUCUUUGCAGGCUGGCAAAAGAGAGAUUCCUAUGUUUGAAGCUGUUUCAAGGAAGACAUGCCAACAGUAGUCAGAAGAGGCAGGCUCUACACAUGUGAAGGCCCUCAUGAGGGCACAAAAAGAGAAAUUGUUUCUUUUGUUUUUUCAAAUAAAAACGAUUUGUCUGAAUCCCUGAGAGCA